UUGGCUAUGGGUCUGUCAUAUAUGGCUUGUAUCAUUUUUAGGGAACAAAAUCUCCGCCAGAACUGAUGGACUGAGCCCCUGGAUUGUCAAAGGAGGCUCACAAACAAAUAUCUACCUUUCUUAGAGGACAGUGAGAAAAGGAGAGCCUUCCCAGCUGGCCUCCCAGAGAACACAACAGAAGAUCUGGCCAGUGACCCCAAGUUUCUACACACAGUGCUUUCUUCCAAGCCUGCCUCUGAAGGGCUCCCUCAAGGAGGUCCAUGGAUUCCUCAAUCACAGGGGAGUGUACCCUGCUGUCUAAUGCUGAAGAAGAUGAAAAAACUGAAAGAAAAGGAUAGCUGUGAGUUUUCUGGCUUGACUACAUAUCCAUCCAGCUCAAGCAGAAAGCCCAUGAGAUUAAAUGAGAAGUUAAAACUGGGGAAAUCUCACAACUCAUCAUCACCAGGCUGACUGAUGCCUGAGAAGGGAAGACCAGAGCAGUCUUCCCAAAUUGACUGAGGGCUGGAAAGUUCCCAGAAAGUUCAUCAGAGACUUCAUAGGAUUCAGGUGUUGAAUGACUCCUCCCCCAAGCAGACUGGAGCUAGGGAUCACAGUUCAUUAAUUCACUGAAAAAUAAAUUGAUAUUUCUUGAAAGUUUGAAACUAUGCACUAAAAUUUCAACCAUUAUUAUCUCAUAAUAAGUCUGUUCCUCCAUAUCUUUUUGAAUUGUGUUAAUACUUGAUAUGCUACAGAUUUGGAGUUGUGGGUUAAUGUGCACCACUUUACUGGUGUUUGUAUUAUUUUCUUCUUUAUUUUCAGCAAAUUUUUCUUUCUUGCCUUUUGUUAUUAUUUUACUUGUCAAAUGAGAGACUGUGGCUGCAAUAUUUUCACUGUGGAUUUUACAUUUUACUACAUUUAUAUUACAUUACUACAUUUACUAAUAUAAAAUAACUUUACUUCUUUAAUGCCUUAAACUUUACUUUGCUUGUUCUUGCCUG